ACAAACUUGGUCAUUUAGAGGAAGUAAAAGUCGUAACAAGGUUUCCGUAGGUAAGUGUGGAAGCUUUCUAUCUUACAACCUUUCUAUGCUUGAAUAAUGUGCUGACUUUUGUCUUUUAGGUGAACCUGCGGAAGGAUCAUUACCGAGUGUAACCUCCUCGUAAAAAAGGUGGUAACCUCCCGUCCUUUGCAGGCCCUUUUUUGGGGCAUUUUUUGACUUUAUUGCUUCGGUGGGGGUUUAAACCCACCGGAACACCUUCAAAACUCUGGUUAAAAAAACUGUUUAGUCCGAGGAUUUUUUAAAAUUAAAUAAAACUUUCAACAACGGAUCUCUUGGUUCUGGCAUCGAUGAAGAACGCAGC
rnacentral:misc_RNA from 1 species